rnacentral:rRNA from 1 species
UACGUGGGGGGCAAGCGUUGUUCGGAAUUACUGGGCGUAAAGGGCUCGUAGGCGGCCAACUAAGUCGGAUGUGAAAUCCCCAGGCUUAACCUGGGAAUUGCAUCCGAUACUGGAUGGCUUGAGUUUGGGAGAGGGAUGCGGAAUUCCAGGUGUAGCGGUGAAAUGCGUAGAUAUCUGGAGGAACACCGGUGGCGAAGGCGGCGUCCUGGACCAACACUGACGCUGAGGAGCGAAAGCCAGGGGAGCAAACGGG